UCUGUUCAAGUGUCAUUUUAUCAGUCUGAGUUGUCAGGUAACGUUUUCCUUCAACACGCUGUGACAUCUGCUCUAGUAAUUUCAUCAUCACGUGUUACUAUAUUACUCACUUGUUACUAUAUACUCACUUGUUACUAUAUUACUCACUUGUUACUAUAUUACUCACUUGUUACUAUAUUACUCACUUGUUACUAUAUUACUCACUUGUUACUAUAUACUCACUUGUUACUAUAUUACUCACUUGUUACUAUAUUACUCACUUGUUACUAUAUACUCACUUGUUACAAUAUACUCACUUGUUACUAUAUACUCACUUGUUACUAUAUUACUCACUUGUUACUAUAUUACUCACUUGUUACUAUAUUACUCACUUGUUACUAUAUUACUCACUUGUUACUAUAUACUCACUUGUUACUAUAUACUCACUUGUUACUAUAUUACUCACUUGUUACUAUAUUACUCACUUGUUACAAUAUUACUCACUUGUUACUAUAUACUCACUUGUUACUAUAUUACUCACUUGUUACUAUAUUACUCACUUGUUACUAUAUACUCACUUGUUACAAUAUUACUCACUUGUUACUAUAUACUCACUUGUUACUAUAUUACUCACUUGUUACUAUAUUACUCACUUGUUACUAUAUACUCACUUGUUACAAUAUUACUCACUUGUUACUAUAUACUCACUUGUUACUAUAUUACUCACUUGUUACUAUAUUACUCACUUGUUACUAUAUUACUCACUUGUACUAUAUACUCACUUGUUACUAUAUACUCACUUGUUACUAUAUUACUCACUUGUUACUAUAUUACUCACUUGUUACUAUAUACUCACUUGUUACUAUAUUACUCACUUGUUACUAUAUUACUCACUUGUUACUAUAUUACUCACUUGUUACUAUAUUACUCACUUGUUACUAUAUACUCACUUGUUACUAUAUACUCACUUGUUACUAUAUUACUCACUUGUUACUAUAUACUCACUUGUUACUAUAUACUCACUUGUUACUAUAUUACUCACUUGUUACUAUAUUACUCACUUGUUACUAUAUUACUCACUUGUUACUAUAUUACUCACUUGUUACUAUAUUACUCACUUGUUACUAUAUUACUCACUUGUUACUAUAUACUCACUUGUUACUAUAUACUCACUUGUUACUAUAUUACUCACUUGUUACUAUAUUACUCACUUGUUACUAUAUACUCACUUGUUACUAUAUACUCACUUGUUACUAUAUUACUCACUUGUUACUAUAUACUCACUUGUUACUAUAUUACUCACUUGUUACUAUAUACUCACUUGUUACUAUAUACUCACUUGUUACUAUAUUACUCACUUGUUACUAUAUUACUCACUUGUUACUAUAUACUCACUUGUUACUAUAUACUCACUUGUUACUAUAUUACUCACUUGUUACUAUAUACUCACUUGUUACUAUAUUACUCACUUGUUACUAUAUUACUCACUUGUUACUAUAUAAUAAAGUUGGGAAUGUGACUAUUUGA
rnacentral:lncRNA from 1 species